UACGUAGGGGGCAAGCGUUGUCCGGAAUUAUUGGGCGUAAAGCGCGCGCAGGCGGUUAUUUAAGUUGGGUGUUUAAUCCCGGGGCUCAACCUCGGGUCGCACCCAAAACUGGGUAACUUGAGUACAGAAGAGGAAAGUGGAAUUCCACGUGUAGCGGUGAAAUGCGUAGAGAUGUGGAGGAACACCAGUGGCGAAGGCGACUUUCUGGGCUGUAACUGACGCUGAGGCGCGAAAGCGUGGGGAGCAAACAGG
rnacentral:rRNA from 1 species